AAUCGAAUUAAGGUGUUUAGCUAGGUGAAACAUUGCUCCAAAGUUCAGUGUUUAGUAAUUCCGUAGGUUAUUGACAACCUAUACUAAAACUGACAUAACUCCUAGCUCGUUACUCCGAUUGAUGCAAAAUCAGCGGCCAAAUAAACUAGGAAUCAUAAACUACAACUUCCAUUCAAUGGUCGAUCACCCAAUCAAAAUAAAACUUCUCCGAAACAGUACUCCAAAAACAGAACAGCAAACUGAAUUUAAAAGUUUAUACCUUCUAUCGUUGAUAUUGCAACCUCACACGACUAUCCCCCACCUUUACUACAACUACCAGACCUGUAAUUUGGCUUCCCCGACCCCUUUUGUCCUUAACUCCAGCUCAUAUACACAAACAACACCUACACCUGAAUUCAAGACUUGAUCCAUCUCCCUUCCCUCAUAAACUUCCGACCUCAAAUCAUCAUAACCUUCAUCCAUCACCCAAUCUUCGCUUCAGCCCUCUCUAUAACCCCACGAUCAGCGCUGCAACACAACAAUAUAAUCACCGAACACAACACCAGCCACCAGCCCUCCUUUCUCCUUUAAUCACCACACAAUUCCCAGCCUUUCCCUGUUCAUUUAACAACUACAAACACCAGCAGAUUUCAACCCAAUCAGAAUCAUAACCCUCACCAAUCUCUCACUGUCACUGACUCUCUUUUUUGGACUAACUAUCCCUGUUUCACUUUCAACUCAAACACAUACUAUCGCCUGUAAUUUCACAAACCAUUACUAUAAUCCAUCGAGCCCAGCCCACCCACCAUAAUCGAAUUCACCCAGCUUUCAACUCCGCUCUGCAGCCUCUGUAAUCUCAUCUCAACUACAACCAAUCCCGGGGACUAACAAACCAUCCACCACCACGUCUUUCUCCCCUCGUGCACCCUCUUCAGCCAUCGACUCUCACCUCCGCCCGAUGACUACAAUUUCUGCCAAACCCACAUCUCCGAAUCUGGCAGCGUCGCCGCGACCCUGAAGCCACCUAUCGCCGACUAUAAAAACCUCGACACCACCUCCGAUUCAAUACAAUCCAAACACCACCAGCCCCCAUCUGUGGUUCACGCAACAACACAAACACACGCACAGACGUGUGUAUAUACACGUAUACGAACACACAGACUUAAUCUUUACCACCGGGAAGCAAUCGAUUGAGAAUAAAAGAAGAAAGUGAAGAACCCUGAUUAAGCCGCCUCUGCUCUUUUUCUUUCGACCGCCCCAAAACUAAUUACAGUCUCUUAGAUUACUCUGUUUUCUUUUCUUUUAUUCCCCACGCAACUGCAGCG
rnacentral:lncRNA from 1 species